rnacentral:rRNA from 1 species
AUUGAUACUAAGCCAUGCGAGUCAUUGUAGCAAUACAAGGCAGACGGCUCAGUAACGCGUAGUCAAUCUACCCUAUGGACGGGAAUAACCUCGGGAAACUGAGAAUAAUGCCCGAUAGAACAUUAUGCCUGGAAUGGUUUAUGUUUCAAAUGAUUUAUCGCCAUAGGAUGGGACUGCGGCCUAUCAGUUUGUUGGUGAGGUAAUGGCCCACCAAGACUAUUACAGGUACGGGCUCUGAGAGGAGUUGCCCGGAGAUGGGUACUGAGACACGGACCCAGGCCCUAUGGGGCGCAGCAGGCGAGAAAACUUUGCAAUGUGCGAAAGCACGACAAGGUUAAUCCGAGUGGUUUCUGCUAAAGAAACCUUUUGUCAGUCCUAGAAACACUAACGAAUAAGGGGUGGGCAAGUUCUGGUGUCAGCCGCCGCGGUAAAACCAGCACCUCAAGUGGUCAGGAUGAUUAUUGGGCCUAAAGCAUCCGUAGCUCGUUUUGUAAGUUUUCGGUUAAAUCCAUGCGCUUAACGUAUGGGCUGCCGGGAAUACUGCAUAACUAGGAAGUGGGAGAGGUAGACGGUACUCGGGAGGAAGGGGUAAAAUCCUUUGAUCUCUUGAUGACCACCUGUGGCGAAGGCGGUCUACCAGAACACGUUCGACGGUGAGGGAUGAAAGCUGGGGGAGCAAACCGGAUUAGAUACCCGGGUAGUCCCAGCUGUAAACUAUGCAAACUCAGUGAUGCAUUGGCUUAUGGCCAAUGCAGUGCUGCAGGGAAGCCGUUAAGUUUGCCGCCUGGGAAGUACGUACGCAAGUAUGAAACUUAAAGGAAUUGGCGGGGGAGCACCACAAGGGGUGAAGCCUGCGGUUCAAUUGGAUCAACGCCGGAAA